CCUCUUUUAAAAGCACUCAGCGCGCCUUGACUAAUGACGCACCGAGCCGUCACUGAAGGGCGGACUGAAAAACGCUGCUUUUGGGUGAAGCGGCAGCGUGUCGUGUUCCGCUUCCGUUGGUGUCACAGGC
rnacentral:snoRNA from 1 species